rnacentral:rRNA from 1 species
UACAGAGGCCACGAGCGUUAGGCGGAAUCACUGGGCUUAAAGCGUGUGUAGGUGGAUGGGUAAGUACCUUGUGAAAUCCCACGGCUCAACCGUGGAACUGCUUGGUAUACUGCCCGUCUUGAGGCACUCAGGGGCGAGCGGAACAGAUGGUGGAACGGUGAAAUGCGUAGAUAUCAUCUGGAACGCCAAUGGUGAAGACAGCUCGCUGGGGGUGUACUGACACUGAGACACGAAAGCCAGGGGAGCAAACGGG